UGGCAUAAAUGUUACUUGGGAAUGCUGCAUUUAGUUUUCAUGAACCUGUGUGAGGAAAUUAUCCAGUAUUUUUAGUAAAAUUUUAAAAUUUUCAAAAUGUUGAUUCCGCUGGAUGGAUACUAAUUUCAAAAUCUGAUGAGUUGCAGGGUAAGAGGUGACCAGGGUGUUGAAAAUGUCAGCAUUGCCCAGAUUAUGUUUAGUAUGAGAGGCACAAGACAUGGAAGCUUUUUAAAUGCAAAAAGUGUGCACAACCAGAGGUGAAUUAUUCCUUUUGAAAUGAUUAUCAAAUGACCCCAAGAUCCAAGUAGGUACACGACAUGUCUUGUUAUUGUUGAUGUGCCCUUCACUGUGAUAUUUACUCCAGUUGAAUUGCUGUUUGGCUAUUCUUGUACAUUGUUUGAAUGACCCAUGGGGAACUUUUCUAUUUACGAAUUGUAGAAUCGAACGUCUGUGGAAGGACUUUUGGACAGGAGUUACUCACGUUUACUAUGACGUAUUACACAGCCUGGAGGAAGAUGGAUCGCUUGACAUCUCGGAUAAUCUCCAUCUCUUCUGUGCUCAGUACACCUUCCUCCCAAGACUCAAGGCUGAUUUGGCCAAGUUUUCUGCUGGAUGGAAUGCUCAUCCUAUCAGGACAGAGGGCUUCCUUACCCCAAACCAGCUGUGGGAGCCUGGGAUGCUGCAGCACCCCAUCUGCGAGCCAGAGGAAGAUGUGGCAGGAAUCCAGAUUGAGGAUAUUGAUUGGGAGAGUUCAGGGCUCUCUCAUAACUCUGCCAACACAGGUGUUGCAGUGCCAGAAAUGGAAUGUCCAUUGAAGACAGAGGACAUUGAAACUCUACGCCUUGCCACUGCUCCUCUUUCUCAUUCAAAUAAUUUCGGAAGAGACAUUUAUUUGUUCACACUCGCACAUGCAUUGUACCUACUUCGCCAUCAUUGACAGUCCUGUCUGUGCCAAUCAGAGGACUAAAAGGCUUUUAAUAAUUCAUGAUUGUUUCCAUGCACCUAAAGUAAUGCCACAAUGUUGUAUUUUGCUUCCAAAGAUUUUGUAUUUAUUGGACUUUUGUCAAACUGACACAGCCACAGGGAAGCAGGAAAGAACGCAGUGAAGGACAUCUUUCUGACAAACAUGGAUGGUGCAAUGCCCAUAUGGAAAUGCUUUUUGAAGUAUAACUUGGGUUGGGUUAACAGAUACAAACUGGACUUAACAAAAAAUGAGAUGAAAGAUUUGCACAAAUAUCUUAUCUAUUAUUAUUUGUCUGAAUGUAUAGGCAUUGUACUUGAACCAUGAAAGAAAAACAUUCAGUAAUCUAAUUAGCACUGAAUAUUUGAAACUGCAACAUUUCACUUAAACCUGAUGAAAUGCCUG